rnacentral:rRNA from 1 species
AACGAACGCUGGCGGCGUGGAUAAGACAUGCAAGUCGAGCGGGACAAUCAGGGUAGCAAUAUUCUGGUUGUUCAGCGGCGCAAGGGUGCGUAACACGUGGGUAAUUUGCCAUGAAGUCUGGAAUAACUUGCUGAAAGGCGAGCUAAUGCCGGAUGUGACUUCCGAGGGGCAUCUCUUGGAAUUCAAAGCUGGAACCGUAAGGUCUGGCGCUUCUUGAUAAGCCCGCGGUCUAUCAGCUAGUUGGUGAGGUAACGGCUCACCAAGGCUAAGACGGAUAGCUGGUCUGAGAGGACGACCUGCCACACUGGAACUGAGACACGGUCCAGACACCUACGGGUGGCAGCAGUCGAGAAUUUUUCACAAUGGGCGAAAGCCUGAUGGAGCGACGCCGCGUGGGGGAUGAAUGGCUUCGGCCCGUAAACCCCUGUCAUUUGCGAACAAACCUUACCGGUUAAUACCCGGUGAGCUGAUUGUAGCGGAAGAGGAAGGGACGGCUAA